UGUAUAUGUGCUGCCAGGCACUCAAAGACACUCUCAGCUUGAGGCAAAACUGAGCACAUUUGUGCAGGGGAAUCCAUGCCUCAUGCUGCUCUCCAGUCUGCUCUGGGUGUUCCUGGCUUUCAUCUUCUCUGGAUCCAGUGUAGCCCAGAAAGUUAUUCAAGACCCGCCAGACAUACCCAGUCGAGUUGGGGAAUCAGUUACCCUAAACUGUCGGUAUGAAACAAGUCAGAGCAGUUACAGCAUUUUUUGGUACAAGCACCUUCCCAGUGGAGAGAUGAUUUUUCUUACAAGGGAUGGCCGCUACUCUAUAAAUUUUGUCAGAUCACGUAAAUCCUCCAGCCUCACCAUUUCAACCUUACAACUGGAAGAUUCUGCAAAGUACUUCUGCGCUCUCUGGGAACUCACAGUGCUUGAAGUAAUAGGAAAAGCUGAACAAAACCCCCCAAGCUUAAUAAGAGAAAGCCUCUCUUCUGUAGGACCCUAG